rnacentral:lncRNA from 1 species
CUGCUUAGAUCCAAAACUGUCCAGAUUUUCGUCACUGGAAACCAGUCAGAUUGAAAACUCGAUAUCUCACAAAUUAUAACUGCUAUGACAGAGUUCUUGGCGUCCAAAGAAAGAUGUUGAAGUCCUCUACAACUUUGUCCACAGACCCAAAAAUUAUUAAAGAAUCUAAAAUGCCCUAACAUUACGAUGAACACAUACUGCUCAGUCUGACGAGAAUUUCAGAACAUGAACGUAAAUGACUUCGAGAAUUUCUCCACUAAACCCAAUCCCAAAUAAGCGAUUUAAUCCGCA